rnacentral:rRNA from 1 species
UACAGAGGGUGCGAGCGUUAAUCGGAAUUACUGGGCGUAAAGGGCGCGUAGGCGGCCUGCUAAGUCGGAUGUGAAAUCCCUCGGCUCAACCGAGGAACUGCAUCCGAUACUGGCGGGCUUGAAUCCGGGAGAGGGAUGUGGAAUUCCAGGUGUAGCGGUGAAAUGCGUAGAUAUUUGGAGGAACACCGGUGGCGAAGGCGGCAUCCUGGACCGGUAUUGACGCUGAGGCGCGAAAGCUAGGGGAGCAAACGGG